rnacentral:rRNA from 1 species
CUACGUAGGUGACAAGCGUUAUCCGGAUUUACUGGGCGUAAAGGGCGUGUAGGCGGUCUUGCAAGUCAGAAGUGAAAUUCCUGAGCUCAACUCGGGCGCUGCUUCUGAAACUGCAGGACUUGAGUGCUGGAGGGGAUAGCGGAAUUCCUAGUGGAGCGGUAAAAUGCGCAGAUAUUAGGAAGAACACCGGUGGCGAAGGCGGCUAGCUGGACAGUAACGGACGCGGAGGCGCGAAAGCGUGGGGAGCAAACAGGAGUAGAUACCCUGGUAGUCCACGCUGUAAACGAUGAAUACUAGGUGUAGGGGGUAUCGACUCCCUCUGUGCCGCAGUUAACACAAUAAGCAUUCCGCCUGGGGAGUACGGCCGCAAGGUUGAAACUCAAAUGAAUUGGCGGGG